rnacentral:pre_miRNA from 1 species
CGGGGCAGGUUCUGGAGAGGGUUUCUUAGGCUGUAGAGAGUGGAAGAGCCUUAGUUAGGUCAGGAGAUGCUUCAUAGUCCAGCCCCAGUU